AGUGAACGCUGGCGGUAGGCCUAACACAUGCAAGUCGAACGGCAGCACAGUAAGAGCUUGCUCUUACGGGUGGCGAGUGGCGGACGGGUGAGGAAUACAUCGGAAUCUACUUUUUCGUGGGGGAUAACGUAGGGAAACUUACGCUAAUACCGCAUACGACCUACGGGUGAAAGCAGGGGAUCUUCGGACCUUGCGCGAUUGAAUGAGCCGAUGUCGGAUUAGCUAGUUGGCGGGGUAAAGGCCCACCAAGGCGACGAUCCGUAGCUGGUCUGAGAGGAUGAUCAGCCACACUGGAACUGAGACACGGUCCAGGCUCCUACGAGAGGCAGCAGUGGGGAAUAUUGGACAAUGGGCGCAAGCCUGAUCCAGCCAUACCGCGUGGGUGAAGAAGGCCUUCGGGUUGUAAUGCCCUUUUGUUGGGAGAGAAAAGCAGCAGGUUAAUACCCCGCUGUUCUGACGGUACCCAAAGAAUAAGCACCGGCUAACUUCGUG
rnacentral:rRNA from 1 species